rnacentral:rRNA from 2 species
AUACAACAUUAACAGGAUUUAGAUACCCUGGUAGUCCACGCCGUAAACGAUGAGUGCUAAGUGUUAGAGGGUUUCCGCCCUUUAGUGCUGCAGCUAACGCCAUUAAGCACUCCGCCUGGGGAGUACGGUCGCAAGACUGAAACUCAAAGGAAUUGACGGGGGCCCGCACAAGCGGUGGAGCAUGUGGUUUAAUUCGAAGCAACGCGAAGAACCUUACCAGGUCUUUGACAUCCUCUGACAACUCUAGAGAUAGAGCGUUCCCCUUCGGGGGACAGAGUGACAGGUGGUGCAUGGUUGUCGUCAGCUCGUGUCGUGAGAUGUUGGGUUAAGUCCCGCAACGAGCGCAACCCUUGAUCUUAGUUGCCAGCAUUUAGUUGGGCACUCUAAGGUGACUGCCGGUGACAAACCGGAGGAAGGUGGGGAUGACGUCAAAUCAUCAUGCCCCUUAUGACCUGGGCUACACACGUGCUACAAAUGGAUGGUACAAAGGGCUGCAAGACCGCGAGGUCAAGCCAAUCCCAUAAAACCAUUCUCAGUUCGGAUUGUAGGCUGCAACUCGCCUACAUGAAGCUGGAAUCGCUAGUAAUCGCGGAUCCAGCAUGCCGCGGUGAAUACGUUCCCGGGCCUUGUACACACCGCCCGUCACACCACGAGAGUUUGUAACACCCGAAGUCGGUGGAGUAACCGUAAGGAGCUAGCCGCCUAAAGGUGACAGAAGG